GUCCCGCAACGAGCGCCAACCCCUAUUGUUAGUUGCCAUCAUUCAGUUGGGCACUCUAGCGAGGCUGCCGGUAAUAACCGGAGGAAGUGGGAUGACGUCAAAUCAUCAUGCCCCUUAUGACCUGGGCUACACACGUGCUACAAUGGUUGGUACAACGAGUUGCGAGUCGGUGACGGCGAGCUAAUCUCUUAAAGCCAAUCUCAGUUCGGAUUGUAGGCUGCAACUCGCCUACAUGAAGUCGGAAUCGCUAGUAAUCGCGGAUCAGCACGCCGCGGUGAAUACGUUCCCGGGCCUU
rnacentral:rRNA from 1 species